rnacentral:rRNA from 1 species
CUGAAAGCAUCUAAGCACGAAACUUGCCCCGAGAUGAGUUCUCCCUGAGACUUUAGGUCUCCUGAAGGAACGUUGAAGACGACGACGUUGAUAGGCCGGGUGUGUAAGCGCAGCGAUGCGUUGAGCUAACCGGUACUAAUGAACCGUGAGGCUUAACCUUAC